rnacentral:ncRNA from 2 species
AACGUGCUCCGGGGUCGGUGAGAAUCCGAACCGGCGGUGACAGUCCGCGAGCCACGGCAUCAGCAUCCGAUCGGAUGCCGCCACGGCUGAUCCGGUGGAAAUCCGGAACCGACGGUGAUGCGACGAGUGAUCGUCGCUAGUCCGGAUGGGAGGCAGCACGAG